GUAGGUGGCAAGCGUUGUCCGGAAUUAUUGGGCGUAAAGCGCGCGCAGGCGGUUCUUUAAGUCUGAUGUGAAAGCCCACGGCUCAACCGUGGAGGGUCAUUGGAAACUGGAGAACUUGAGUACAGAAGAGGAAAGCGGAAUUCCACGUGUAGCGGUGGAAUGCGUAGAGAUGUGGAGGAACACCAGUGGCGAAGGCGGCUUUCUGGUCUGUAACUGACGCUGAGGCGCGAAAGCGUGGGGAGCAAACAGGAUUAGAUACCCUGGUAGUCCACGCCGUAAACGAUGAGUGCUAAGUGUUAGGGGGGUUUUCCGCCCCCCUUAGUGCUGCAGCUAACGCAUUAAGCACUCCGCCUGGGAGUACGGCCGCAAGGCUG
rnacentral:rRNA from 1 species